UACGUAGGGGCCUAGCGUUGUCCGGAUUUAUUGGGCGUAAAGAGCUCGUAGGCGGUUGGGUAAGUCGGGUGUGAAAACUCCAGGCUCAACUUGGAGACGCCACCCGAUACUGCUCUGACUUGAGUUCGGUAGGGGAGUGGGGAAUUCCUGGUGUAGUGGUGAAAUGCGCAGAUAUCAGGAGGAACACCGGUGGCGAAGGCGCCACUCUGGGCCGAAACUGACGCUGAGGAGCGAAAGCGUGGGUAGCAAACAGG
rnacentral:rRNA from 1 species